rnacentral:rRNA from 1 species
UACGUAGGGUGCGAGCGUUAAUCGGAAUUACUGGGCGUAAAGCGUGCGCAGGCGGCGCGUUAAGACAGGUGUGAAAGCCCCGAGCUUAACUUGGGAAUUGCGCUUGUGACUGGCGUGCUGGAGUGUGGCAGAGGGAGGUGGAAUUCCACGUGUAGCAGUGAAAUGCGUAGAGAUGUGGAGGAACACCGAUGGCGAAGGCAGCCUCCUGGGCCAGCACUGACGCUCAGUGCACGAAAGCGUGGGGAGCGAA